CUUGUGUUCCUUCUAGGGUGGAGACUUCAAAGAAGCAGAGGUAAAUAUCAGACUAGGGGAAGGGACUUUGGCUGCGCUCUGAGAGCAGAUGUAACCUGGAUGGGGUCUUGGGGUCCUAAGGUAAGGAAUGCAGGGCCUUGCUUGUUCAUAGGCUGAAAUCAAUCAGUUGACCAGGAGUCCAGGCUUCUGCAGAGACAGACUAUUUGUUGGUGGGUCUGAAAAGAAACAAUAGUUGAUUAGGGAGAAACAGUUCUCUGAAAAACAAGCUUUAAAUUUUCUGCUAGUUUAAACUCAUUAACCCUAUGGGUCACGGUUUCAAACCUGCAGAAACAACUCAAGAAUGGGCAUUAGGUCAAUCUUUACUUUUGUGAGUUUUACCAUUGAUUUAUUGUCUUUGAAUUUGUUAGGCUAUUUCUUGACAUGGUAGAGACUCCCCCCCCCCACCCCCGCAAUUCCCUUUGUUCCCUUAAAAUCUGUAACUACUAGGUUUUGCAUUUCUUUGUGAUUCUGACACCUAGGAAGCUCUGCCAGCAGUGUGCCUGGGCACAGAUCACAGUAAAUAGCUGGGAUCUAAAAUGACUUCUCUUGGGUCACAAAAGCUGUGUUUUGUCUUUUUUUUUUCAGGGGACCCCUAAAUCUUUCUGCUUACAUCUAAACCCUAUUGAGAAAACUCUUCAAAUAAAGCAGUCUCUUAAAGAAUUCAAAGAACGCAAUCAUUCCCAUCCUCAUUUACCACCCAGAAAUAGCCAAUAUUAACAUUAGGUGACUGUCAUCUAUCUAUGGACGGUUUUGUACAAUAAAACAAAACUCUCCAUUCUUUAAGCAAUGACGACAACAACAGGAGUAUAUAGGAAGACUCUGGACUAGUUCACAGAAUCUAUGGAGAAGCUGCAAAUCUGGUCUUGAAAAGGACAAGAACUUGGGCAGCAGCCAGAGUCUGCGGAACAGAGCCAGAUGCAUUGGCAGUAUUUGGGAGCGCUGAUGAUCGGAUAAAUAGGCCCCAGUUCUUAUCUUAAAAGAAAAAAAUCAACUUUAGGUGCCAAGGCAAUUAAUUCAAAGGGGAAACACUAGUCUUUUCAGAGAUGGUGCUGGAACAACCGGAUAUCCACAUGCAGAGGAAUGAAAUUGGACUCCUACCUCACUCUACUUUCAAAUGUUAACUCAAUAUAUCAUAGACCUAAUGUAAAAGCUAAGUCUAAGAUUUACAUAAGAGCAAAUCUUCAUGACCUUGGUUUGGCAAUGGUUUCAGAGAUAUGACAAGCAAAAAGCAACCGAGGGAAAUGUAUAAUUUGUGUUCAUUAAAAUUAAAAAUUUUUGUGCUUCAAAGGACACUAUCAAGAAAGUAGUGAAAAUACAACCCACAGAAUGGAAGAAAAUAUUUGUAAAUUACAUAUCCGAUAAGGAUCAAGUAUCCAAAAUAUUUAAAUAACUCUUAACAACUCAACAGCAGAAAGCCCCAAAUAACCCAGUUUAAAAAUGGGCAGAGCAGGGCACCUGGGUGGCUCAAUCAGUUAAAGGUCUGAUUCUUGAUUUCUGCUCAGUCAUAAUCUCAGGACUUGUAGGACUGAGCCCCAUGUCCAGCUCUGGGCUGUCAGCGCAGAGCCUGCUUGGGAUUCUCUCUCCCUCUCCCUCUCUGCCCCUGCCUGUCUCUCUCUCUCUCUCUCUCUCAAAAUAAAUAAAUAAACAUUAAAAAAAAUUUUAAUAAAAAUGGGCAAAGCAUCGAAAUAGACAUUUCUCCAAAAAAAAAAAAAAAAGAGAGAUACAAAUGCUAAUAAUUACAUGAAAAAGUACUCAACAUUAUUAGUCAUUUAGGGAAAUGCAAAUCAAAACCACAGUGAGACACUACUUCAUAUCCACUACAAUGACUAGAAUGAAAAAGACAUCUAUAACAAGUGUUUACGAGGAUAUGGAAAAAUUGUGAGCAGGAAUGUAAAACGGUACAGCUGAUGUGGAAAAGAGUUUGGCAGUUCCUCAAAAAGCUAAACACAGUUACCAUAUGACCCAGAAAUUCCACUCAUAUGUAUAUACAUAAGACCAUUAAAAACAUAUGUACCCAGGGGCGCCUGGGUGGCUCAGUCGGUUGAGUGGCCGACUUCGGCUCAGGUCAUGAUCUCGCAGUCCGUGAGUUCGAGCCCCACGUUGGGCUCUGUGCUGACAGCUCAGAGCCUGGAGCCUGUUUCAGAUUUUGUGUCUCCCUCUCUCUGACCCUCCCCUGUUCACGCUCUGUUGCUCCCUGUCUCAAAAAUAAAUAAAACGUUAAGGAAAAAAAAUUAAAAAAAAAAACAUGUACACAAAAAUUUGAACACAAAUGUUCAUAAUAGCAUUAUUCAUGAUAGCCAAAGAGUGAAGUGCCUGGGUUUUUUGUGAAGUGUCUGUUCAACAUUUUUGCACAUUCUUAUUGUUUUGGAAAUAGGUGCCAUUGACAAAGUUCACAUAAAAUAUAACCACUAACCCUUUACUUCUUAGUGCUGAACCCCACCAAGUUUCUGCUACGUUAAAACGUGUAGAAAAGAAUAUGUUGGAAGUGAUUUGAAUCUACAGUCUAAUAGUUGGCAUUUUAAUCAGGGUUGUUACUAAUGAUUGCCAUUUAUUCUUUGAUAACAAUUGGGCAUUGCAAUGUUCAUAAUCUAGUGGUCCCUAUAGUGCUUAUAGGAAUACAUUGGUCCAAUCUGUUCUUUCACACCUACUGAACCUGAUUCACCAUCAAUCUGUUCCUCAUUGUUUGAUCCUUUCCCCUUCACCCAGGCUCGGCAGGCUGGCUGCCAGAGCCUCUCAAGCGACCUGAGAGAGAGUUCAUUGCCUGUAAGAGAUCAGUCACGUGGGCAGAGUAGCAUCCUUUGGGCAGAGAUAAAAUUUGGCUUUCUUAGUACUUUUCUGGAUUGAAAUAUCUACUAAUGCUUGCCAGGACGAACUCCUCAAAACGCUCUACCUGGGCCUCCUUUUCCAUGUUCUCAUGAAAUUGAUGAAUCAAGGAUUGAUGAAUUAACUGUGUGUCAGUGAUGUCUCCCUAUGGUUUGCUUUAUAAAACUACAUGGAUAGAAAAAAAUCAAGAUUGGAUUGUGUCCUUCAGAGAAGUUUAACAAUUGAGAUGGAUCACUAAACUUGAGUUACCCAUUUAGAGCCACUGGCUGCCUGUUGGUCACGGCAGCUGCCAACAGAUGAAGAAAGAGGCCAGCGUGGGUGAGUGGCUACAUGUGCAUCAGGGGGACAAGGCUGUGAGCCUACCUUACCUAAAAUUGAAAGGUAAAUUGAAGUUCUCAUGGAACAUUUCCCGGGCAAUGCCAUCUCAACAGACAAAUGAUGGCCCCUAUAGCUCCUUGGUCCUCUUAGGAAGGCAAAUUUUGCAGUUUUUUGUUAAAGAUUUUCUAAUUAAGCUAGCUUUGCUAGUAUUCUGAGCUUUUCAGUUAUCAUGGCUUAUCCCAUUGUUAUUUAUUUUAUUUUAUUUAUUUAUUUUUAAUUUACAUCUAAGUUAGCAUAUAGUGCAAUAAUGAUUUCAGGAAUAGAAUCCAGUGAUUCAUCCCCUACACAUAACACCCAAUGCUCAUUCCAACAGGUGUCUUCCUUAACUCCCUUGCCCAUUUAGCCCAUCCUGCACCCAAACCCCCUCCAGCAACCCUCAGGUCUCUGUAUUUAAUAGUCUCUUAUGUUUUGUCCCCCCCAUUUUUAUAUUAUUUUUGUUUCCCUUCCCUUAUGUUCAUCUGUUCUGUAUCUUAAAUUCCACAUAUAAGUGAAGUCAUAUGAUAUUUGUCUCUCUCUGACUGACUCAUUUCACUUAGCAUAAUACCCUCUAGUUCCAUCCAUGUUGUUCCAAAUGGCAAGACCUCAUUCUUUUUGAUUGCCAAGUAAUACUCCAUUGUAUAUGUAUACCACAUCUUCUUUAUCCAUUCAUCCAUGAAAGGACAUUUGGGCUCUUUCCAUACGUUGGCUAUUGUUGACAGUGCUGCUAUAAACAUUGGGGUGCAUGUGCCCCUUCAAAACAGCACACUUGUAGCCCGUGGAUAAAUGCCUAGUGGUGCAAUUGGGGGUCAUAGGGUAGUUCUAUUUUUUAGUUUUUUGAGGAACCUCCAUACUGUUUCCCAGAGUGGCUGCACCAGUUUGCAUCCUCACCGACAGUGCAAAAUGGCUCCCCUUUCUCUGCAUCCUCACCAACAUCUGUUGUUGGCUGCGUUGUUAAUUGUAGCCAUUCUAACAGGUGUGAGGUGGUAUCUCAUUGUGGUUUUGUUUUGUAUGUCCCUGAUGAUGAGUGAUGCUGAGCAUUUGUUUCAUGUGACUGUUAAUGGCUUAUCCCACUUUUAGAAAUUUCUUAAUCAACAGAAUCUCAUACAAUGAUAUUUUUCAAAAUUUGGAUGAGGUCCCAUGGGGGGAUCUGUGAAGCCUCCUACCAAACUCUUUAGAGUAAAUUGGCUGAUAAAAGGUAGGAUGCCAGAAGCCAGGGGCUUCAGCCCCAUUGGGGGCUGUUUCUAUGGGUUACUUAGCUCUAGUACUUGGCCCCGAUAAUCUAAUUCACUUGUCCAGGGUACCACCUACAGGACAGCAGCUGCUGGCCCUUUCCUUGCAUUUAUAGAGGAUAAACAUAAUUUAUCAAAAUACUAUUCUGUUUGGGCCUAUAAGUAGGACAGAAUGAGACAGAAAUCAGGGGUGGCCUGAAGGCCACUUUCUAGAUCAAACAAAAGAAGAAAAGUGUCAUAUCCAGUUCUGAAAGCAAGGUCAGAGCCAUGAGAUUAAUAAUGACAGAGAUGAAAAAGCAGGUGCUAUCGGUGAUAUGUCAAAGGGAAUUUGGGAGGCAAUAGGCGGGGUCUUGGGAGUGAUAAUCAGUAACUGAAGGAAAGGGAAACUAAAGUUGCCAAAUGCUGAGGGAGCAGCUGAAGCAGGAGUCAGGAACUCAAAAAUUAAGUCCUAACAAAGGAAAUGAGGAUUGGAAGAAGAUACAUUCUCUGCUCUCUGCUCUUGGAUCCUCUCCUCUGUGCAGACAGAUGGCUUCUGGAUCUACAUGUCUGGCUCAGACUUUUUUCCUUAGAUUAAGUCCUUCAAAUCACAUUGUUCUUUAUACUGUCCAAUAUAAAUGAAGCAUUUCUAUAGGAUGCAAAUAGAAAGCGAAGGAAGUAGAUGUCCUGGUUUUAACCAAUCGGAGGAGCAGAAAUUACCCCUGGCCAUCAAUAGAGAGAUAGAUUUGGAGACCAAAUUGCCCUUUAAAAAACUUUAUUAACCAACUACUUUUUAAAAUUGAAUAAUCUAUCGUAAGCAUUUUCCUAAUCAUUAAAGGCAUUCAUGUAAAAAAUUUGUUCAAGUGUAAUGUACAUACAUAAACUUGCACAUAUCUUAAGUGUACAAUUUGAAGGGUUUUCAUAAACUGAACACAUACAUCCAUGUAGCUAGCUCCUCAGACGUGCCUGUAUACAAGCAUUCAUUUUUUUAAUGGUUUUAUUAUUUUUUAAAUUUAUUUUUUGAGAGAGAGAGAGAGAGAGAGAGUGCAAGUGUGAGCGGGGGAGGGGCAGAGAGAGAGGAAGACAGAGGAUCCAAAGCAGGCUCCCAGCUGACAGCAGAGAGCCCCACGUGGGGCUCAAACUCACAAACCUUGAGAUAAUGACCUGAGCCAAGUCGGACGCUCAACCGACUGAGCCACCCAGACGCCCUCAACCGUUCAUUUUUAAUAGCUCUAUCAUAGCCCAUCGUAAUUGCUUAACCAUUCUCCUAAUGCUGACUUUUUUUUUUUUAAUGAUAAAUAAUGCUGCAAUGGUUAUUUAUCUUUCUUCCCAACCUAUAACACCACCACUACCAUCCCACUUGCCCGUCUGGGUCGGAUUCUAGGGAUGUCCUUCCAGCAACGUGCUUGUAAUGGUCUUAGAGUACUUUAACAUCCCCUUGGCAACCUACUGCUUCCCCUUGACUAUCCCCAACCUUGGAAAAUCCUGUUUGUCCACAUUGUCUCCUCUGUGUCGGAGGGUUAAGGCCACUACAAAUUCCUGCCAUCUGUUCAGGGCCUCACCGCUUGUUGUGCUAUAUUCUGUGUGUGAAGAUCGGGCUGUUUGUUUGCUGUCUGUUAGUGAGUGAUAUUGACACAACCUUUUUUUUUUUUUUUAAGUUUAUUUAUUUAUUUUGAGAGAGAGAGAGCUUGAGUGGGGUGGGAGCAGAGAGAGAGGGAGAGAGAAUUUCAAGCAGGCUCCAUGCUGACACAGCACAGAGCCUGACGUGGGGCUUGAGCUCACAAACUGUGAGAUCAUGACCUGAGCUGAAAUCAAGAGUCAGAUGCUUCACCAGCUGAGCCACCCAGGCGCCCCGACACAACUUUCUAAAUGAUCUAUAACUUCUGACUGUCUUCGUCAGGUUUCAAAAAUUAGAAGCUCACUUGCAAGUUUAAAUUUUGUAAAGAAUGAAAAUGGUUGGUUUGGGAAGAUUAGAUGCUGUGCAGUGCUUCCCAUGGUGCAAUAAACGGAGUCAGCAGAUGAUUUUAAGUGGAACACAAACGAUUUGUAUGUAUUCCUUUUAGUGAAUAUGAGAAUAAAAUAUAAUUAAUGCACUAAA